rnacentral:rRNA from 6 species
UUAAAUUGAAGAGUUUGAUCAUGGCUCAGAUUGAACGCUGGCGGCAGGCCUAACACAUGCAAGUCGAACGGUAACAGGAAGCAGCUUGCUGCUUCGCUGACGAGUGGCGGACGGGUGAGUAAUGUCUGGGAAACUGCCUGAUGGAGGGGGAUAACUACUGGAAACGGUGGCUAAUACCGCAUAACGUCGCAAGACCAAAGAGGGGGACCUUCGGGCCUCUUGCCAUCAGAUGUGCCCAGAUGGGAUUAGCUUGUUGGUGAGGUAACGGCUCACCAAGGCGACGAUCCCUAGCUGGUCUGAGAGGAUGACCAGCCACACUGGAACUGAGACACGGUCCAGACUCCUACGGGAGGCAGCAGUGGGGAAUAUUGCACAAUGGGCGCAAGCCUGAUGCAGCCAUGCCGCGUGUAUGAAGAAGGCCUUCGGGUUGUAAAGUACUUUCAGCGGGGAGGAAGGUGUUGUGGUUAAUAACCGCAGCAAUUGACGUUACCCGCAGAAGAAGCACCGGCUAACUCCGUGCCAGCAGCCGCGGUAAUACGGAGGGUGCAAGCGUUAAUCGGAAUUACUGGGCGUAAAGCGCACGCAGGCGGUCUGUCAAGUCGGAUGUGAAAUCCCCGGGCUCAACCUGGGAACUGCAUUCGAAACUGGCAGGCUUGAGUCUUGUAGAGGGGGGUAGAAUUCCAGGUGUAGCGGUGAAAUGCGUAGAGAUCUGGAGGAAUACCGGUGGCGAAGGCGGCCCCCUGGACAAAGACUGACGCUCAGGUGCGAAAGCGUGGGGAGCAAACAGGAUUAGAUACCCUGGUAGUCCACGCCGUAAACGAUGUCUACUUGGAGGUUGUGCCCUUGAGGCGUGGCUUCCGGAGCUAACGCGUUAAGUAGACCGCCUGGGGAGUACGGCCGCAAGGUUAAAACUCAAAUGAAUUGACGGGGGCCCGCACAAGCGGUGGAGCAUGUGGUUUAAUUCGAUGCAACGCGAAGAACCUUACCUGGUCUUGACAUCCACGGAAGUUUUCAGAGAUGAGAAUGUGCCUUCGGGAACCGUGAGACAGGUGCUGCAUGGCUGUCGUCAGCUCGUGUUGUGAAAUGUUGGGUUAAGUCCCGCAACGAGCGCAACCCUUAUCCUUUGUUGCCAGCGGUUAGGCCGGGAACUCAAAGGAGACUGCCAGUGAUAAACUGGAGGAAGGUGGGGAUGACGUCAAGUCAUCAUGGCCCUUACGACCAGGGCUACACACGUGCUACAAUGGCGCAUACAAAGAGAAGCGACCUCGCGAGAGCAAGCGGACCUCAUAAAGUGCGUCGUAGUCCGGAUUGGAGUCUGCAACUCGACUCCAUGAAGUCGGAAUCGCUAGUAAUCGUGGAUCAGAAUGCCACGGUGAAUACGUUCCCGGGCCUUGUACACACCGCCCGUCACACCAUGGGAGUGGGUUGCAAAAGAAGUAGGUAGCUUAACCUUCGGGAGGGCGCUUACCACUUUGUGAUUCAUGACUGGGGUGAAGUCGUAACAAGGUAACCGUAGGGGAACCUGCGGUUGGAUCACCUCCUUACCUUAAAGAAGC